UACAGGGGGUGCAAACGUUGCUCGGAAUCAUUGGGCGUAAAGCGCACGUAGGCGGUCUGUUAUGUCGAAUGUGAAAGCCCUUGGCUUAACUGAGGAAGUGCAUCCGAAACUGGCAGGCUAGAGUACUAAAGAGGGUCGCGGAAUUCCCGGUGUAGAGGUGAAAUUCGUAGAUAUUGGGAAGAACACCGGUGGCGAAGGCGGCGACCUGGUCCUUGACUGACGCUGAGGCGCGAAAGCGUGGGGAGCAAACAGG
rnacentral:rRNA from 1 species